GGACUGCCUUUUGCAUAAUGAGCCUGCGAGUUGUGGUGUCUGGCAAGGUUAAGCAAACGCGAAGCCGUAGCGAAAGCGAGUCUGAAUAGGGCGCUUAGUCAGAUGCUGCAGACCCGAAACGAAGUGAUCUAUCCAUGAGCAAGUUGAAGCUAGUGUAAGAACUAGUGGAGGACUGAACCCAUAGGCGUUGAAAAGCCCCGGGAUGACUUGUGGAUAGGGGUGAAAGGCCAAUCAAACUUCGUGAUAGCUGGUUCUCUCCGAAAUAUAUUUAGGUAUAGCGUUGUGUCGUAAUAUAAGGGGGUAGAGCACUGAAUGGGCUAGGGCAUACACCAAUGUACCAAACCCUAUCAAACUCCGAAUACCUUAUAUGUAAUCACAGCAGUCAGGCGGCGAGUGAUAAAAUCCGUCGUCAAGAGGGAAACAACCCAGACUACCAGCUAAGGUCCCUAAAUCUUACUUAAGUGGAAAACGAUGUGAAGUUACUUAAACAACCAGGAGGUUGGCUUAGAAGCAGCCAUCCUUUAAAGAAAGCGUAAUAGCUCACUGGUCUAGUGAUUUUGCGCGGAAAAUAUAACGGGGCUAAAGUAAGUACCGAAGCUGUAGACUUAGUUUACUAAGUGGUAGGAGAGCGUUCUAUUUGCGUCGAAGGUAUACCGGUAAGGAGUGCUGGAGCGAAUAGAAGUGAGCAUGCAGGCAUGAGUAGCGAUAAUUAAUGUGAGAAUCAUUAACGCCGUAAACCCAAGGUUUCCUACGCGAUGCUCGUCAUCGUAGGGUUAGUCGGGUCCUAAGUCGAGUCCGAAAGGGGUAGACGAUGGCAAAUUGGUUAAUAUUCCAAUACCAACAUUAGUGUGCGAUGGAAGGACGCUUAGGGCUAAGGGGGCUAGCGGAUGGAAGUGCUAGUCUAAGGUCGUAGGAGGUUAUAUAGGCAAAUCCGUAUAACAAUACUCCGAGAACUGAAAGGCUUUUUGAAGUCUUCGGAUGGAUAGAAGAACCCCUGAUGCCGUCGAGCCAAGAAAAGUUUCUAAGUUUAGCUAAUGUUGCCCGUACCGUAAACCGACACAGGUGGGUGGGAUGAGUAUUCUAAGGCGCGUGGAAGAACUCUCUUUAAGGAACUCUGCAAAAUAGCACCGUAUCUUCGGUAUAAGGUGUGGUUAGCUUUGUAUUAGGAUUUACUCCGAAAGCAAGGAAACUUACAACAAAGAGUCCCUCCCGACUGUUUACCAAAAACACAGCACUCUGCUAACUCGUAAGAGGAUGUAUAGGGUGUGACGCCUGCCCGGUGCUCGAAGGUUAAUUGAUGGGGUUAGCAUUAGCGAAGCUCUUGAUCGAAGCCCGAGUAAACGGCGGCCGUAACUAUAACGGUCCUAAGGUAGCGAAAUUCCUUGUCGGUUAAAUACCGACCUGCAUGAAUGGCGUAACGAGAUGGGAGCUGUCUCAAAGAGGGAUCCAGUGAAAUUGUAGUGGAGGUGAAAAUUCCUCCUACCCGCGGCAAGACGGAAAGACCCCGUGGACCUUUACUACAGCUUGACACUGCUACUUGGAUAAGAAUGUGCAGGAUAGGUGGGAGGCUUUGAGUAUAUGACGCCAGUUGUAUAUGAGCCAUUGUUGAGAUACCACUCUUUCUUAUUUGGGUAGCUAACCAGCUUGAGUUAUCCUCAAGUGGGACAAUGUCUGGUGGGUAGUUUGACUGGGGCGGUCGCCUCCCAAAUAAUAACGGAGGCUUACAAAGGUUGGCUCAGAACGGUUGGAAAUCGUUCGUAGAGUAUAAAGGUAUAAGCCAGCUUAACUGCAAGACAUACAAGUCAAGCAGAGACGAAAGUCGGUCUUAGUGAUCCGGUGGUUCUGUGUGGAAGGGCCAUCGCUCAAAGGAUAAAAGGUACCCCGGGGAUAACAGGCUGAUCUCCCCCAAGAGCUCACAUCGACGGGGAGGUUUGGCACCUCGAUGUCGGCUCAUCGCAUCCUGGGGCUGGAGCAGGUCCCAAGGGUAUGGCUGUUCGCCAUUUAAAGCGGUACGCGAGCUGGGUUCAGAACGUCGUGAGACAGUUCGGUCCCUAUCUGCCGUGGGCGUAAGAAGAUUGAAGAGAUUUGACCCUAGUACGAGAGGACCGGGUUGAACAAACCACUGGUGUAGCUGUUGUUCUGCCAAGAGCAUCGCAGCGUAGCUAAGUUUGGAAAGGAUAAACGCUGAAAGCAUCUAAGCGUGAAGCCAACUCUAAGAUGAAUCUUCUCUAAGCUCUCUAGAAGACUACUAGUUUGAUAGGCUGGGUGUGUAAUGGAUGAAAGUCCUUUAGCUGACCAGUACUAAUAGAGCGUUUGGCUUAUCUUU
rnacentral:rRNA from 1 species